UACGGAGGGAGCUAGCGUUGUUCGGAAUUACUGGGCGUAAAGCGCACGUAGGCGGCUUUGUAAGUUAGAGGUGAAAGCCCGGGGCUCAACCCCGGAAUUGCCUUUAAGACUGCAUCGCUUGAAUCCGGGAGAGGUGAGUGGAAUUCCGAGUGUAGAGGUGAAAUUCGUAGAUAUUCGGAAGAACACCAGUGGCGAAGGCGGCUCACUGGACCGGUAUUGACGCUGGAGGUGCGAAAGCCGUGGGGAGCAAACAGG
rnacentral:rRNA from 1 species